UCUUCGUUCCAGAUUUCUUUGCAGGAUCAUCCGCGUUCUCGUGCACCACCACAGUCGGGAUCGCAUCCUUUUGCUGGUGCUGGCCUGGACCGGAUCGAUGAUCCACUGACGUGGAAGAAGGAUUCUAGAAAACCAAAGAGAAACAAUGAAUCGAUCGGGAUUGAAGAACACGGAGUGAUCAUACCUGUGUUGAAGCCAUGACUCGGUGAUAAAAUGGAAGAAAUCGUUCAUGUGUUAUCAACAAAGAGUGAGCCAAUCAAAUACUGACACUUCGCUCCA